rnacentral:rRNA from 1 species
GAUGAACGCUAGCGGCAGGCUUAACACAUGCAAGUCGAGGGGUAUUGGUUUUCGGACCAAGAGACCGGCGCACGGGUGCGUAACGCGUAUGCAAUCUACCUUUUGCAGAGGGAUAGCCCAGAGAAAUUUGGAUUAAUACCUCAUAGUAUAGUACUUUGGCAUCAAGGAACUAUUAAAGUCACAACGGCAAAAGAUGAGCAUGCGUCCCAUUAGCUAGUUGGUAAGGUAACGGCUUACCAAGGCUACGAUGGGUAGGGGUCCUGAGAGGGAGAUCCCCCACACUGGUACUGAGACACGGACCAGACUCCUACGGGAGGCAGCAGUGAGGAAUAUUGGUCAAUGGGACGCAAGUCUGAACCAGCCAUGCCGCGUGCAGGAUGACGGUCCUAUGGAUUGUAAACUGCUUUUGACGAGAAGAAACAACAUUACGUGUAAUGUCUUGACGGUAUCGUAAGAAUAAGGAUCGGCUAACUCCGUGCCAGCAGCCGCGGUAAAGUG